AUUGAACGCUGGCGGCAGGCCUAACACAUGCAAGUCGAACGGUAACAGGAAGACGCUUGCUUCUUUGCUGACGAGUGGCGGACGGGUGAGUAAUGUUUGGGAAACUGCCUGAUGGAGGGGGAUAACUACUGGAAACGGUAGCUAAUACCGCAUAAUGUCGAAAGACCAAAGAGGGGGACCUUCGGGCCUCUUGCCAUCGGAUGUGCCCAGAUGGGAUUAGCUAGUAGGUGGGGUAACGGCUCACCUAGGCGACGAUCCCUAGCUGGUCUGAGAGGAUGACCAGCCACACUGGAACUGAGACACGGUCCAGACUCCUACGGGAGGCAGCAGUGGGGAAUAUUGCACAAUGGGCGCAAGCCUGAUGCAGCUAUGCCGCGUGUAUGAAGAAGGCCUUCGGGUUGUAAAGUACUUUCAGCGGGGAGGAAGGGAGUAAAGUUAAUACCUUUGCUCAUUGACGUUACCCGCAGAAGAAGCACCGGCUAACUCCGUG
rnacentral:rRNA from 1 species